rnacentral:rRNA from 2 species
GAUGGGACUGCGGCCUAUCAGCUUGUUGGUGAGGUAAUGGCCCACCAAGACUAUUACAGGUACGGGCUCUGAGAGGAGUAGCCCGGAGAUGGGUACUGAGACACGGACCCAGGCCCUAUGGGGCGCAGCAGGCGAGAAAACUUUGCAAUGUGCGAAAGCACGACAAGGUUAAUCCGAGUGGUUUCUGCUAAAGGAACCUUUUGUCAGUCCUAGAAACACUGAUGAAUAAGGGGUGGGCAAGUUCUGGUGUCAGCCGCCGCGGUAAAACCAGCACCUCAAGUGGUCAGGAUGAUUAUUGGGCCUAAAGCAUCCGUAGCCGGCUCUGUAAGUUUUCGGUUAAAUCUGUACGCUCAACGUACAGGCUGCCGGGAAUACUGCAAAGCUAGGGAGUGGGAGAGGUAGACGGUACUCGGUAGGAAGGGGUAAAAUCCUUUGAUCUAUUGAUGACCACCUGUGGCGAAGGCGGUCUACCAGAACACGUCCGACGGUGAGGGAUGAAAGCUGGGGGAGCAAACCGGAUUAGAUACCCGGGUAGUCCCAGCUGUAAACCAUGCAAACUCAGUGAUGCAUUGGCUUGUGGCCAAUGCAGUGCUGCAGGGAAGCCGUUAAGUUUGCCGCCUGGGAAGUACGUACGCAAGUAUGAAACUUAAAGGAAUUGGCGGGGGAGCACCACAAGGGGUGAAGCCUGCGGUUCAAUUGGAGUCAACGCCGGA